rfam:Canis lupus familiaris chromosome 1, whole genome shotgun sequence.
AGCUUUGUGCAGUGGCAGUAUUGUAGCCAAUGAGGUUUAUCCGAGGCACAAUUAUUGCUAAGUAAAUCUAGGAGAAUCCUAUGUAUUUGAUCUUGCUGGAACUUAACUUCCAUUCAAGAACUAAAGAACCUUUAAAUGAUGUAAGCUUC